CAGUAGUAAAAAACAUUUAUUUCAUUUUUAAAAUACUUAAAAAAAAAAAAAAAAGUAUGAUUAUUGUGCUUCUCAAGGGCGGUAUAGUCCUAUUCUGAGUCCCCCUGAGAGAAUUGUAUUGGCCAGGUUUGGUGAUACAUUGAGCACAUGCACUUUGCACAAAGUGGACUGACCUGCAGAUGGGAGUAGCAACGCACACUCCCAGGCAGUCCGCAAGGAAUGGGCGCUCACACAUACGAUAGGUGGGUGGUAAAGCGCUCACACAUACGAUAGGUGGGUGGUAAAGACAUAUACACAAAUACAUGAGAUACAACACUCAAUGAUGAGUGGACAUUAGAUUAGUAAACAUUUAUUUUUUUAAUAAGAGUUAAAAUGAUACAAUUUAUUUGUUGACAGAGUUUGAGAGCAAG